GAGGCAGCAGUGGGGAUAUUGCACAUGGCGAGCCUGAUGCAGGACGCGCCUGGGGGAUGACGCUUUCGGUUGUAACUCCUUUCACCAUUGACGAGGUUUUCUGACGGUAGAUGAGAGAGCACCGGCUACUACGUGCCAGCAGCCGCGGUAUACGUAGGGUGCGAGCGUUGUCCGAAAUUACUGGGCGUAAAGAGCUCGUAGGUGGUUUGUCGCGUCGUCUGUGAAAUCCCGGGGCUUAACUCCCGGCGUGCAGGCGAUACGGGCAUAACUUGAGUACUGUAGGGGAGACUGGAAUUCCUGGUGUAGCGGUGAAAUGCGCAGAUAUCAGGAGGAACACCGGUGGCGAAGGCGGGUCUCUGGGCAGUAACUGACGCUGAGGAGCGAAAGCAUGGGUAGCGAACAGGAUUAGAUACCCUGGUAGUCCAUGCCGUAAACGGUGGGCGCUAGGUGUAGGGGUCUUCCACGACUUCUGUGCCGUAGCUAACGCAUUAAGCGCCCCGCCUGGGGAGUACGGCCGCAAGGCUAAAACUCAAAGGAAUUGACGGGGGCCCGCACCAGCGGCGGAGCAUGUGGAUUAAUUCGAUGCAACGCGAAGAACCUUACCUGGGCUUGACAUAUACGGGACCGGGCCAGAGAUGGUCCUUCCCUUGUGGCUUGUAUACAGGUGGUGCAUGGUUGUCGUCAGCUCGUGUCGUGAGAUGUUGGGUUAAGUCCCGCAACGAGCGCAACCCUUGUCUUAUGUUGCCAGCAAGUAAUGGUGGGGACUCGUGAGAAACUGCCGGGGUCAACUCGGAGGAAGGUGGGGAUGACGUCAAAUCAUCAUGCCCCUUAUGUCCAGGGCUUCACACCUGCUACAAUGGUCGGUACAGUGGGUUGCGAUGCCGUGAGGUGGAGCUAAUCCCUGAAAGCCGGUCUCAGUUCGGAUCGGGGUCUGCAACUCGACCCCGUGAAGUUGGAGUCGCUAGUAAUCGCAGAUUAGCAACGGUGCGGUGAAUACGUUCCCGGGCCUUGUACACACCGCCCGUCACGUCCUGAAAGUCGGUAACACCCGAACCCAGUGGCCCAACCCUUGUGGGGGGAGCUGUCGAAGGUGGGAUCGGCGAUUGGACGAAGUCCUUUCUAGAUGCUCGCCCCG
rnacentral:rRNA from 1 species